rnacentral:rRNA from 1 species
GACGAACGCUGGCGGCGUGCUUAACACAUGCAAGUCGAACGGAAAGGCUCCAGCUUGCUGGAGUACUCGGGUGGCGAACGGGUGAGUAACACGUGGGUAAUCUGCCCUGCACUCUGGGAUAAGCCUGGGAAACUGGGUCUAAUACUGGAUAUGACCUUUCUCCUUAUGGGGUUUGGUGGAAAGUUUUUCGGUGUAGGAUGAGCCCGCGGCCUAUCAGCUUGUUGGCGGGGUGAUGGCCUACCAAGGCGACGACGGGUAGCCGGCCUGAGAGGGGGGUCGGCCACAUUAGGACUGGAAUACGGCACAGACUCGAACGGGAGGCAGCAGUGGGGAAUAUUGCACAAUGGGCGGAAGCAUGAUGCAGCGACGCAGCGUGAGGGAUGACGGCCUUCGGGUUGUAAACCUCUUUCAGCAGGGACGAAGCGUAAGUGACGGUACCUGCAGAAGAAGCACCGGCUAACUAUGUG